UGUACCAAACUGGUGAUUGAAUCGGAUAGCACAAUGGCGCUGGAGGCAGUCUCGGAUCCUAAUGCAUAUAUGGGACCUGCAGUUCCUAUUAUAGCUGAGUGCUCUCUAACGACAAUGCAAUUUGCUCAUAUCUCCUUUGUUCAUUGUAGUAGAGAGGCGAACUCAGUAGCGGAUGCCUUAGCAAAACAUUGUAUCAGAGUUAAAAAGUCUGAAGUAUGGGAAAACAUCCCUGACUUUAUUCUUCAUCUCCUUGUAAACGAUUUGGCUAUCAUUUGAUGAAUAAAGUUAUGGAGUUUCAAAA
rnacentral:rRNA from 1 species